rnacentral:rRNA from 1 species
UACGUAGGGGGCAAGCGUUGUCCGGAUUUAUUGGGCGUAAAGCGCUCGCAGGUGGUUCGUUGCGUCGUGCGUGAAAGACCCCGGCUCAACUGGGGAGGGUCGUGCGAUACGGGCGAACUGGAGGCCAGUAGGGGGAUGCGGAAUUCCGGGUGUAGUGGUGAAAUGCGCAGAUAUCAGGAGGAACACCGGUGGCGAAGGCGGGUCUCUGGGCCGAUACUGACGCUGAGGAGCGAAAGCGUGGGGAGCGAACAGG